rnacentral:tRNA from 1 species
GCGUUUGUACGUCGGACCUUGAAAUCCGAUUGAAUCAACGUUUUGACAUACCGAAGACAUAACGAAAGGCCUUCUAAGCCGUCGGUCGGGAGUUCGAAUCUCUCCUGGGACGUACCA